ACAAUUUCGUAUACAAUUUUCGCAUUCGCUGAUUCUGCUUAUUCACUCGUUCGUUCAACCCGUUCAACUUUUGCCGUGGUCGUGUUUUUGCGUGCCGUUUAUAUUUUACAAAAAUAGUUGGCAAAAGAUAGCUGCGAAAUACACAGAACUCCAAAAGUGGCCACACAAAAGCUAAUACCAAAUUCUGUCGACGCUAAAUAGAAAUCGAAGUUGUAAGAAAAGAAAUUGUGAAACUAAUCGCCAAUCAAUCACUCAAGCGAUCGCACCACCGAACGCUUCAAAUAUUUUGCUACCCGCGCACCAUUAAACACAGUAUGCACAAAGGCGAUGGGCGGUUUCCUGGAUAAGCCAAAAACUACCAAACAUAACGACCAUGGCGAAGGAAAUAAACUUCUAUUCGGCGUUAGCUCCAUGCAGGGCUGGCGUUGUGAAAUGGAGGACGCGUACUAUGCACGCGCCGGUCUCGGAAGCGGUUUGGACGAUUGGAGUUUCUUUGCCGUUUUCGAUGGGCAUGCAGGUUGUAAAGUGUCGGAACAUUGCGCCUCACAUCUCCUCGGUAGUAUCAUUAGUACGGAUGAAUUUAAGAAUGGUGAUCACGUGAAGGGUAUUCGCACCGGUUUUUUGCAUAUUGAUGAAGUCAUGCGAGAUUUACCCGAAUUAACUCGAAAUGCAGAAAAAUGUGGCGGCACAACUGCAGUUUGUGCGUUUAUUUCGCCGACCCAAGUUUACAUAGCAAAUUGUGGCGAUUCCCGUGCGGUACUGUGUCGACAAGGUGUACCGGUAUUUGCUACACAAGAUCACAAACCGAUACUGCCCGAAGAAAAAGAGCGUAUACACAAUGCUGGUGGUAGUGUAAUGAUUAAACGUGUCAAUGGUACACUGGCGGUUUCGAGAGCUCUGGGUGAUUACGAUUUUAAAAAUGUGAAAGAGAAGGGUCAAUGUGAGCAGCUAGUGUCGCCGGAACCUGAAAUUUUUUGCCAAAGUCGCCAAGAUACAGAUGAGUUUUUAGUUUUAGCCUGUGACGGUAUAUGGGAUGUCAUGUCUAAUGAGGAUGUUUGUAGUUUUGUUCACUCGAGGCUGAGAGUAACUAGCGAUUUAGUAGAUAUAGCAAACCAAGUCGUUGAUACCUGCUUGCAUAAGGGCAGUCGAGAUAAUAUGAGUAUAAUAAUUAUCGCUUUCCCAGGCGCACCAAAACCUACUGAAGAAGCCAUUGAAGCAGACAAACGGUUGGAGAAACAAAUUGAGAAAUUAACAAGAGAUGAGAUAGAAUGUAAUGAAAUCACACAGUACUAUGAUUUGUUGCAAGCACUACAAAAUAAGGAAAUUGAAGGUCUUCCUCCUGGUGGCGGUUUACAGUCAAAAUAUCCAGUCAUCGAGCGAACGUUCAAAGAAAUAUAUCCAGAUCAGGACUGCGAAAGCCCUUCUCACUGAACCACCUCAAAACCAGAUAAAAACAGAAAAAUAAAAACAAAAUAAAAACAAAAAAAAAAAAAUACAAAUCGGUUAUAACUUUGAUAAAGUGCAAAUUUAACUGAAGUAACCAAACAAUAUAAGGAAAACAAUUAAAAAAAGAAAAAACAGGAACAUAACAAGUAAAUACACACAAAGUAAAAAAAGAGGAAAAAAAUAUUGAAAAUAACUCAAGCAAAAUGCCAGAAAUACACAAACAAGUGAAAAUGAGCAACAACAAGUAUAGGGUUAAGAAAUUAUAGCAACCGCCAACGGUGCAGACUAAGAGCUGAUUUUGCCGACAAGCAACAGGCUGUAGACGCAAGUGGUUACACCUCAAAAAAGGCUGCACAAGCAGAGCCAAGCAAUAAUGCUGCAAUGAGUGCAUUCAGUUGGACACUAACGCAAAUACAUAUAAAUAAUUGGAAACACUUCAUGCAUGCAGCCAGCCAGCCAGGUCAUAUGACGUCAUAUUUGGUAUACAAAUUUUAUUUAUUUUUUUUUUUUUUUGUUUUUGCUGACAUGAAAUGUGGCCGAAAAUUUCUUACUAUCGCAAAGUGUUGCCGUUAAAUGACGGUGGAAGCAACACACAGAUAAUUAAAAUACGUUAAAACAUUUACCGUUUUCGUCUCAACACCAGCCUACAACACCAACUAUGUGUCUACAACACACUCAUCUGAUUCUAUUCAAAUAGUAUGUCCAAUAAGCCUGUAGCGUUGUGUAUGUGUGUUUAAAGAAAAUUAAUUACCGUUAAAGUGGAACUGAUGCUGUUUUUUUUUAGUAUUUUUUAAGAAAACUAUUAAAUCAACGUAAAGACGAGACAGCAACUGCGCAAAUACUUGCAAAUAAACUGAAGAAAAAAUGAGUUAAAAAAUUAUUUACUUUGCCGAUGUUUUGGAAUAUUGCUUUGGCUACCAUAAAACGCACAAUCAUCGUCAAUAUGAGCAUCCAAGUCACCACUCGUGCGUCUAACACUAUAAACAGCUUAAAGUUGAGAAAAAAAAAACGGAAAAUUAUAUCUUCAAAUAAUUAAACGAUUUAUGUGGCCGCCGAAAGUUCUAGAUCGUAGCUCUUCUGGCCACCAAUUUGAAAUCAACUGAAAUAUAUUCGAAACUUAUUUCUGGUUUUUGUAACAAACACACACAUUUAUAAAAAUUUUUCGAUUUUUUUUUACUUUAUUUUUACUACCAACGACCUUAAACGACUAGAGAAAAAAGAAACGGUUUACAAGCAAGAUAAUUAUUUAAAAAAAAAAAACAAAAAAA
rnacentral:misc_RNA from 1 species